UGUAAAUUCCCAUCUUUAAAUUUGAGAUUAUUUUAACCAGUAUCUCUAGACAUGACGAGGACGAGGAAUAAUGCCGUUAUGGAACAGUUUUGUUAUAUCUUCAGGUUGUGGUCCUUCAGAGGCGCUAUAAUUACGACAGUGACAUUUCGUAUGUGUUCAGUUGUCCUUUUCCGAAGACCGCUAGAUGGCAGUAACGUGAUGUCUUUUGACUCGAGAUGUUUAUCGGCUGUUCUGUGCACAUGCUUCCCGUCAUGCAAUUAUAGGACCUGAAAUGCUGAGAGGACAUAGAGCUGUCUAAAUGUGCAUAACGCAAACCACAUCUUGGAUAACAUUUUACCCACAGGACCCAGAUGCAGCUGAAAUUAGUGAAGGAGCGGCGCGUGAUGACUGGAUGAACAUCGUCCUGCUCCUGAACACAACAACCCUUCAACAAUUACCAUGGUAACCACAGUUCCUCCCUAAAUACCACAGCACUGGUGCAGAGUUGAGGUUGUCUGUGAUAAUCUUAUCGUGCUAUGAUGGCGAGCGGAUGGGGACAAAAGCGGCAGAGGCACGUUGAAGGUCUGAUGGGUUGCUGAUUGCAAAGCUGUCCAGCGAAGAGACAGUUGCCAUGGAAAUGAUGAAUGACAUGUGUCCCACCUGAUAGGACGGGCACACCAGUAGAUUGAUGCAUAGGAACAUUUGUGUGUGAGAGAAGAUGAACAGCUUUAGGGAUUUUUGGUAGCAGUUUUCAUACCACACACACACACACAACGAACAAGUACAAGUACUUUAAUACCAAGG
ensembl:lncRNA